GGCCUAGUGUUUUGACAGAGCAGGUAGAGCAUUUUGUUUUUGUCAUGGCCGGCGUGUCCCCAUUUAAAUGUACAAUCUCUGAACCCCCAUCCUGCUUCCCACUAGCUCUAGCAUUCUAAAAACCACCAUUCUGUCCCGAAAAGUUGGCUACUAAUUCGUCUGUUGAUCCGCGCUUUUCACGCGCCUUAAGUCUAUGUCUUAGAGUGGGUGGCAUCACUUCCGUUUCCAUGGGUGACACCACUUCCGCAAAAUGAAGUACUAAUUAGCGUAAGAUCUUUGUUUGUGCCGGAAAUACGCACGAAAAAAAAAAUUUUAUAAAAAAAAACAUAUUGCGUUAUACAGACAGAAGAAGUGGGGAGAUAUUUGCUCACAAGACAAACGUGUGUGCCUCAGUGACAGAGACCUGGUCUAUCUCCUGGACACGAGGAGAGAGCAAAGGUCAACCAGAAACUGGAGGAGGCUGUUUCCAUCUGUACUUUUUACCUGUGCUGAAAGUGGCUUGAAAGAGCACCAAAACUGGUCCCUCACACCGGUGGAGCAACUGGCUGUUGCUAUGGAGAGAAGCUUUCUACGUAAAACAUCAUCUUUUUCCGAGUUGGACAUUCCAAAAAUUCCUGCUGGCCCAGCCACUGGAGGUGAGGAUGUUUCUGAAAACUUGCACAACAGGCGUGAUCCCAACAGUCGUCUGUACCUGAGUGCCAAAGAAAUCUCGCCCUUCCUUGAGAUACAGCCAUAGUUCUCAACACUACACUCAACCAUUCACCUAAGAAACGCGAUUCUACAGACGGGUGUUCCCUGCCGUAUGUGAGAGACGAUCCCUGUGGUCUGAGGCCGGUCAAGCCAGUGCCAAUAUGGAGUCAGUAUCUCUCUGACCGCUCCUCUCUACCUGUGUGUGGGAAGAAAACGGUGGUAGGGGAGAAUGUCAAAAAAAUAUAAUUGAUGUCUUCAGAACGUCAGAACCUGACAGAAAUGUUCAGCUAUCUGUCCGGAGAACAUUCACGACGCUACCAUGUUGAAGGGGACAUCAGCGCUGCUUACUCAGAGAUGGUCAUCAACAGGAUCUGUCGGUAGAUUUGACUGGACGAAAGAUGAAGCAGACAAAGAGAUCAUGUGGACAACUGAGUGGAUCUGUGUGGAUCGGAGAAAACCCUCAUGUCUAGCUCAUCCCGAAUAUUCCCCACUAUUUUUAGCUCAUCCCCAGUAUUUUUUUAUAUGAUCCCUAUUAUUUUCGAGCUCUUCUCUAAUAUAUUCCAGCUCAUUCCGAAUACUCCCUACCUUUUUUUUUAGCUCGUCCCCAGUAUUUUCUAGAUGAUCCCUAUUAUUUUUCAGCUCAUCAAUAAUAUUUUCUUGCUCAUCCC